GGCCACAGCCAUGUCACCCUGCAGCCCAAGAUCAGUUACUCGCUGAAGCUAAGCGGGGCUGAGCCUGGUCAGUAGCUGGAUGGGAGACCACUAGGGAACACUAGGGGUCCGUUCUUC
ensembl:rRNA 5S_rRNA 5S ribosomal RNA